UACGUAGGCAGCGAGCGUUGUUCGGAAUUACUGGGCGUAAAGAGUGUGUAGGCGGUGCUCUAAGUCUGUCGUGAAAUCUCCCGGCUUAACUGGGAGGGUGCGGCGGAAACUAGAGUGCUAGAGGGUGGGAGAGGAAAGCGGAAUUCCUGGUGUAGCGGUGAAAUGCGUAGAUAUCAGGAGGAACACCUGCGGUGUAGACAGCUUUCUGGACCACUUCUGACGCUGAGACACGAAAGCGUGGGUAGCAAACAGG
rnacentral:rRNA from 1 species